rnacentral:rRNA from 3 species
UUCCGUAGUGAACCUGCGGAAGGAUCAUUA